rnacentral:rRNA from 1 species
GCAGCCUCCUGGCCAGGAGGCGGGUGAAUACGUUGGGUGCAUGCGUUGUCCUGAAUUUGUUGGCUGAAAGUGCGCGUAGGCAGGCUUGCGCGUGUGCUUUGAAAGCCCGAGGCUCAACCUCGGGCCUGCAGUGGGUACGGGCAGACUAGAGUGCGGUAGGGGAGAUUGGAAUUCCUGGUGUAGCGGUGGAAGGCGCAGAUAUCAGGAGGAACACCGAUGGCGAAGGCAGAUCUCUGGGCCGUAACUGACGCUGAGGAGCGAAAGCAUGGGGAGCGAACAGGAUUAGAUACCCGAGUAGUC